rnacentral:lncRNA from 1 species
CGGAGCUGGGGACUGAACCCAGGGCCUUGCGUUUGCUAGGCAAGCGCUCUACCACUGAGCUAAAUCCCCAACCCCUAUAUCAGUCAUUUUUACCUGGCCAUGUAGGCCUCCAGAUCUCUCCCACAGUAGUGCCUCUACUGAACUUCUCUACCUCCCAGGACCUCCUCAGAAGUCUCCUCACACAAUCGGUACAGUCUAGUGGUCAUUAGUAAGCCAGACUGCUCAAGCUUCAAUCUGGAGAACAGGAAACCCACUACUAUGAUUAUAAGUAGGACACUGAUUUCCAUUCAUUGGGCCACAAUUUCUAACCUCUGAAGCAGAAACAAUCAAGUAUUUCUUCUUGUAUUUGAACAGGUAUUUCAAAGGCCCAUACAUGGACAAUAACCCCCACUUGCACUUCAAUGUAUGCUAUACAUAGAAUAAAUAGUAUAAUUCUGUCACUAU